GAUGAACGCUGGCGGCGUGCCUAAUACAUGCAAGUCGAGCGAACGGACGAGAAGCUUGCUUCUCUGAUGUUAGCGGCGGACGGGUGAGUAACACGUGGAUAACCUACCUAUAAGACUGGGAUAACUUCGGGAAACCGGAGCUAAUACCGGAUAAUAUUUUGAACCGCAUGGUUCAAAAGUGAAAGACGGUCUUGCUGUCACUUAUAGAUGGAUCCGCGCUGCAUUAGCUAGUUGGUAAGGUAACGGCUUACCAAGGCAACGAUGCAUAGCCGACCUGAGAGGGUGAUCGGCCACACUGGAACCGAGACACGGUCCAGACUCCUACGGGAGGCAGCAGUAGGGAAUCUUCCGCAAUGGGCGAAAGCCUGACGGAGCAACGCCGCGUGUGUGAUGAAGGUCUUCGGAUCGUAAAACUCUGUUAUUAGGGAAGAACAUAUGUGUAAGUAACUGUGCACAUCUUGACGGUACCUAAUCAGAAAGCCACGGCUAACUACGUG
rnacentral:rRNA from 1 species